CCUUAUAGUGGGGGAUAGCCUUUCGAAAGGAAGAUUAAUACCGCAUAAGAUUGUAGUAUCGCAUGAUAUAGCAAUUAAAGGAGCAAUCCGCUAUAAGAUGGACCCGCGUCGCAUUAGCUAGUUGGUGAGGUGAUGGCUCACCAAGGCGACGAUGCGUAGCCGACCUGAGAGGGUGAUCGGCCACAUUGGGACUGAGACACGGCCCAGACUCCUACGGGAGGCAGCAUG
rnacentral:rRNA from 1 species